rnacentral:tRNA from 1 species
GGCUGUAGCUCAGUGGUAGAGUGCCUGCCUCACAUGUGUGAGGCACUGGAUUUGAUCCUCAGCACCA